AUUGAACGCUGGCGGCAUGCUUUACACAUGCAAGUCGAGCGGCAGCGCGGGGGCAACCCUGGCGGCGAGCGGCGAACGGGUGAGUAAUGCAUCGGAACGUACCCUGGAGUGGGGGAUAACGCCGCGAAAGCGGCGCUAAUACCGCAUAUGCUCUGAGGAGGAAAGUGGGGGACCGCAAGGCCUCACGCUCUGGGAGCGGCCGAUGUCCGAUUAGCUAGUUGGUGGGGUAAAGGCUUACCAAGGCGACGAUCGGUAGCUGGUCUGAGAGGAUGAUCAGCCACACUGGGACUGAGACACGGCCCAGACUCCUACGGGAGGCAGCAGUGGGGAAUUUUGGACAAUGGGGGCAACCCUGAUCCAGCCAUGCCGCGUGAGUGAAGAAGGCCUUCGGUGU
rnacentral:rRNA from 1 species